rnacentral:rRNA from 1 species
UACGUAGGGUGCAGGCGUUAAUCGGAAUUACUGGGCGUAAAGCGUGCGCAGGCGGUUUGCUAAGAGAGAUGUGAAAUCCCCGGGCUUAACCUGGGAACCGCGUUUCUAACUGGCAGGCUUGAGUGUGGCAGAGGGGGGUGGAAUUCCACGUGUAGCAGUGAAAUGCGUAGAGAUGUGGAGGAACACCGAUGGCGAAGGCAGCCCCCUGGGCUAACACUGACGCUCAUGCACGAAAGCGUGGGGAGCAAACAGG